ACUAACGCUGGCGGCGUGCCUAACACAUGCAAGUCGGACGAAUUUUCUUGUAGCAAUAUAGAGAAAGAUGAGUGGCGCACGGGUGAGUAACACAUAGACGAUCUGCCUUCAGACAGGGACAACUCAGGGAAACUUGAGCUAAUACCGGAUAAGACCCCAUGAAGGGAUUCACGUGAUCAAAGGGGGGAGCAAUCUCCCGCUGGAAGAUGAGUCUAUGUCCUAUCAGCUAGUUGGUGGGGUAAGGGCCUACCAAGGCGAAGACGGGUAGCCGGCCUGAGAGGGUGAACGGCCACACUGGAACUGAGACACGGUCCAGACUCCUACGGGAGGCAGCAGUGAGGAAUUUUCCGCAAUGGGCGCGAGCCUGACGGAGCGACGCCGCGUGAGGGAUGAAAGGUUUUCGGAUCGUAAACCUCUUUUACUAAGGAGAAAGGCAUCUAUGCGAACAACAUAGAUGUUUGAUAGUACUUGAUGAAUAAGCCCCGGCUAACUACGUGCCAGCCGCUGC
rnacentral:rRNA from 1 species